rnacentral:rRNA from 1 species
GACGAACCGUCCUAACGUUGUUCGGAAUCACUGGGCUUAAAGGGCGCGUAGGCGGCUUGCCAAGUCAGGGGUGAAAUCCUGCAGCUUAACUGUAGAAGGGCCUUUGAUACUGGCGAGCUCGAGGGAGGUAGGGGUAUGUGGAACUUCCGGUGGAGUGGUGAAAUGCGUUGAUAUCGGAAGGAACGCCGGUGGCGAAAGCGACGUACUGGACCUCUUCUGACGCUGAGGCGCGAAAGCUAGGGGAGCAAACGGG